rnacentral:rRNA from 1 species
CCUACGGGUGGCUGCAGUGAGGAAUAUUGGUCAAUGGGCGUAAGCCUGAACCAGCCAAGUCGCGUGAGGGAUGACGGCUCUAUGGAUCGUAAACCUCUUUUAUCAGGGAGUAAAGUGUAGGUCGUGUCCUAUUGUGUAUGUACCUUAUGAAUAAGCAUCGGCUAACUCCGUGCCAGCAGCCGCGGUAAUACGGAGGAUCCGAGCGUUAUCCGGAUUUAUUGGGUUUAAAGGGAGCGUAGGCGGGUUGUUAAGUCAGUGGUGAAAGUUUGCGGCUCAACCGUAGAAUUGCCGUUGAUACUGGCAGUCUUGAGUAUAGUUGAGGUAGGCGGAAUGCGUGGUGUAGCGGUGAAAUGCUUAGAUAUCACGCAGAACCCCGAUUGCGAAGGCAGCCUACUAAACCAUGACUGACGCUGAUGCACGAAAGCGUGGGGAUCAAACAGGAUUAGAUACCCUAGUAGUC